rnacentral:lncRNA from 1 species
AUUGUCCUUGCAACAAUUUGCAGCAUAUCUAGUUUCACUUCAAGAUGAAGAGUUAACCAAACUUGCAUUGAACGAAUACAAGUCUGCCACAAAUAUGACAGACCAGUUCUCAGCUUUGGCAGCCUUAGCUCAGAAUCCAGGUACAACCCGUGAUGAAGUACUGGCUGACUUCUACAACAAGUGGCAAGAUAACUAUCUGGUAAGCAAAUGUGUCGUUAACAUUACAUAGGUUCUCUCAAGUGAGAGUUCCGCUUUACAUCCACUCAAGUGUUUUUCAUACUCCUCCCGUUUACCAGGUUGUGAACAAAUGGUUUGCCCUUCAAGCCAUGUCCGACAUUCCCGGGAAUGUGGAGAAUGUUCGGAAGCUGAUGAGUCAUCCAGCAUUUGAUUUACGCAAUCCAAACAA